CCUAUGGGACAAAACCGUGAGGCUCAGGAUGGGGUGGGCCAAAGUAGAUAAUUCCUCUAGUGGUUGAAGCAAAUGGCGUUACAGAUGGUAUCAGAGUCGGACCCCCUCCAGUAUAUGUGUAGUUCGAGGACGAACCAGGCUGAAGCUGAUGGGCCUGUAACAUGCAGUAUGAAAAGGGAAGGUCUUGGCUGGAGCUAUCCUCUGGGAGGGCAAUGUUAACUGGUGCCCUUAUCCAAAUGGGAGGCAUGAAUGAAUGGAAUCAUACAUUGAAAUUGGGGAAACUAAUCACUAGAGGCGCCUUUU
rnacentral:misc_RNA from 1 species